GACGAACGCUGGCGGCGUGCCUAAUACAUGCAAGUCGAACGAGAGCAACCGGUGCUUGCACUGGUCAAUCUAGUGGCGAACGGGUGAGUAACACGUGGGUAACCUGCCCAUCAGAGGGGGAUAACAUCCGGAAACGGAUGCUAAAACCGCAUAGGUCUUCGAACCGCAUGGUUUGAAGAGGAAAAGAGGCGCAAGCUUCUGCUGAUGGAUGGACCCGCGGUGCAUUAGCUAGUUGGUGAGGUAACGGCUCACCAAGGCCGUGAUGCAUAGCCGACCUGAGAGGGUGAUCGGCCACAUUGGGACUGAGACACGGCCCAAACUCCUACGGGAGGCAGCAGUAGGGAAUCUUCCGCAAAGGACGCAAGUCUGACGGAGCAACGCCGCGUGAGUGAAGAAGGUGUUCGGAUCGUAAAACUCUGUUGUUAGAGAAGAACAAGUGCUAGAGUAACUGUUAGCGCCUUGACGGUAUCUAACCAGAAAGCCACGGCUAACUACGUG
rnacentral:rRNA from 1 species